rnacentral:rRNA from 1 species
UACAGAGGGUGCAAGCGUUGUUCGGAAUUAUUGGGCGUAAAGCGCGCGCAGGCGGUCCUUUAAGUCUGAUGUGAAAGCCCACGGCUCAACCGUGGAGGGUCAUUGGAAACUGGGGGACUUGAGUACAGAAGAGAAGAGUGGAAUUCCACGUGUAGCGGUGAAAUGCGUAGAGAUGUGGAGGAACACCAGUGGCGAAGGCGAGUCCCUGGACAGGUCCUGACGCUGAGGCACGAAAGCUAGGGGAGCAAACAGG